AUGAGUUGCUUGUUUUGGAACUGUCGAGGGGUGGGGAACUCUCGUACAGUUCGUGACCUUCAGGCUCUUUGUCAAGCCCAUUCCCCGAAGCUUGUGUUUUUAUGUGAAACUAGACAACCAAAGCAGAAAAUGGAGAGAGCACGCAACAGACUUGGCCUCAAGGGUUUUGAUGGUGUAAGUAGUCAGGGAAAGAGUGGUGGCUUAGCCUUAUAUUGGGAUGAAACCGUGUCGGUCAACAUACAGGAUAUAAAUGAAAGAUGGAUUGAUGCUUUCGUUAGACUGUCUAAUGAUGAACCGAUGUGGCGGGUGACUUUUGUUUAUGGAGAACCAAGAGUUGAAAACAGACAUCUCAUGUGGGAGAGUUUAUGCAGACUAAGAGAGGCACGUCAGAUAUACCAUGGCUGGUGGCCAAGGAUUUCAACGAGGCUAUGUGGGACUUUGAGCACUUGUCCUCGACCCCUCGCCCCCGGAAUCAGAUGGUCGCAUUUAGGGAAUGCUUAG
rnacentral:rRNA from 1 species